rnacentral:rRNA from 1 species
AGCAGCCGCGGUAAUUCCAGCUCCAAUAGCGUAUAUUAAAGUUGUUGCAGUUAAAAAGCUCGUAGUUGAAUUUCGGGGUCAGUAGGUCGGUCGUGCCACUGGUAUGCACUGGUCUCACUGAUUCCUCCUUCUUGAAGAACCGUAAUGUCAUUAACUUGGUGUUGCGGGGAAACAGGACUGUUACCUUGAAAAAAUUAGAGUGUUUAAAGCAGGCCA